rnacentral:rRNA from 1 species
GAUGAACGCUGGCGGCGUGCCUAAUACAUGCAAGUCGAGCGAACGGACGAGAAGCUUGCUUUUCUGAUGUUAGCGGCGGACGGGUGAGUAACACGUGGAUAACCUACCUAUAAGACUGGGAUAACUUCGGGAAACCGGAGCUAAUACCGGAUAAUAUUUUGAACCGCAUGGUUCAAAAGUGAAAGACGGUCUUGCUGUCACUUAUAGAUGGAUCCGCGCUGCAUUAGCUAGUUGGUAAGGUAACGGCUUACCAAGGCAACGAUGCAUAGCCGACCUGAGAGGGUGAUCGGCCACACUGGAACUGAGACACGGUCCAGACUCCUACGGGAGGCAGCAAUAGGGAAUCUUCCGCAAUGGGCGAAAGCCUGACGGAGCAACGCCGCGUGAGUGAUGAAGGUCUUCGGAUCGUAAAACUCUGUUAUUAGGGAAGAACAUAUGUGUAAGUAACUGUGCACAUCUUGACGGUACCUAAUCAGAAAGCCACGGCUAACUACGUG